AGAUAUUUUCAAUAUACAAGCUUACUUGAAAUUCACAUUUUGUAAUUUCACAGUUUUAUUUCACAAUUUCACAGUUUUAUUUACUUGAAAUUCACAUUUUGUAACUACAGAAUAUUGAGAUGGAUCCGCGAAGAGGAAGAGAGGAUAGCAGCCAACAAAGAAACUGCAAUCAAAUGUGUAAUUAUCGACAUGACAGCUGUAUCAACCAUAGAUUCAAGUUGAAUCGACACUAUAUGUGAACUAAGAAGGACGCUGGAUAAACGAUCUCUUAAGCUUAUGCUGGCAAAUCCAGGUGGGAAUGUUAUGGAAAAGUUGCAUGAAUCUAGUGCUCUUGAGGGCUUCGGAUUAAAUGGAAUAUAUCUAACUGUUUCUGAAGCAGUGGCUGAUAUCUCAUCUUUGUGGAAGAAUGAACCUGAAUUGUCAGUAUAAGAUUUGCAUUGUCAAGAAAAAAAUUGAAGUGGCA